UAUAUUUGUAGCUUGCUACAAAUAUUGUUAGUGGCAGACGGGUGAGUAAUGCAUAGGGAUCUACCUAGUAGUAUGGGAUAGCCACUAGAAAUGGUGGGUAAUACUGUAUAAUCCCCGCGGGGGAAAGAUUUAUCGCUAUUAGAUGAGCCUAUGUUAGAUUAGCUAGUUGGUGGGGUAAAGGCCUACCAAGGCGAUGAUCUAUAGCUGGUCUGAGAGGAUGAUCAGCCACACUGGAACUGAGAUACGGUCCAGACUCCUACGGGAGGCAGCAGUGGGGAAUAUUGGACAAUGGGCGCAAGCCUGAUCCAGCUAUGCCGCGUGAGUGAGGAAGGCCCUAGGGUUGUAAAACUCUUUCAAUAGGGAAGAUAAUGACGGUACCUAUAAAAGAAGUCCCGGCAAACUCCGUGCCAGCAGCCGCGGUAAUACGGAGGGGGCGAGCAUUGUUCGGAAUUAUUGGGCGUAAAGGGCAUGUAGGCGGUUCGGUAAGUUAAAGGUGAAAUGCCAGGGCUUAACCCUGGAGCUGCUUUUAAUACUGCCAGACUAGAGUACCGGGAGAGGAUAGCGGAAUUCCUAGUGUAGAGGUGAAAUUCGUAGAUAUUAGGAGGAACACCAGUGGCGAAGGCGGCUAUCUGGUCCGGUACUGACGCUGAGGCGCGAAAGCGUGGGAGC
rnacentral:rRNA from 1 species